AGUGAACGCUGGCGGUAGGCCUAACGCAUGCAAGUCGAACGGCAGCACAGUAAGAGCUUGCUCUUACGGGUGGCGAGUGGCGGACGGGUGAGGAAUACAUCGGAAUCUACUUUUUCGUGGGGGAUAACGUAGGGAAACUUACGCUAAUACCGCAUACGACCUACGGGUGAAAGCAGGGGAUCUUCGGACCUUGCGCGAUUGAAUGAGCCGAUGUCGGAUUAGCUAGUUGGUGGGGUAAAGGCCCACCAAGGCGACGAUCCGUAGCUGGUCUGAGAGGAUGAUCAGCCACACUGGAACUGAGACACGGUCCAGACUCCUACGGGAGGCAGCAGUGGGGAAUAUUGGACAAUGGGCGCAAGCCUGAUCCAGCCAUACCGCGUGGGUGAAGAAGGCCUUCGGGUUGUAAAGCCCUUUUGUUGGGAAAGAAAAGCAGCAGGUUAAUACCCCGCUGUUCUGACGGUACCCAAAGAAUAAGCACCGGCUAACUUCGUG
rnacentral:rRNA from 1 species